AGAGUUUGAUCCUGGCUCAGAACGAACGCUGGCGGCAGGCCUAACACAUGCAAGUCGAACGCCGUAGCAAUACGGAGUGGCAGACGGGUGAGUAACGCGUGGGAACAUACCCCUCGGUUCGGAAUAACUCAGGGAAACUUGAGCUAAUACCGGAUACGUCCGAGGUUUUAAUCGACCUUGGAAAAAGAUUUAUCGCCGGAGGAUUGGCCCGCGUCUGAUUAGCUUGUUGGUGAGGUAACGGCUCACCAAGGCGACGAUCAGUAGCUGGUCUGAGAGGAUGAUCAGCCACAUUGGGACUGAGACACGGCCCAAACUCCUACGGGAGGCAGCAGUGGGGAAUAUUGGACAAUGGGCGAAAGCCUGAUCCAGCCAUGCCGCGUGAGUGAUGAAGGCCUUAGGGUUGUAAAGCUCUUUUGCCCGGGAAGAUAAUGACGGUACCGGGAGAAUAAGCCCCGGCUAACUUCGUGCCAGCAGCCGCGGUAAUACGAAGGGGGCUAGCGUUGUUCGGAAUUACUGGGCGUAAAGCGCACGUAGGCGGAUCCUUAAGUCAGGGGUGAAAUCCCGAGGCUCAACCUCGGAACUGCCUUUGAUACUGGGGAUAUCGAGUCCGGGAGAGGUGAGUGGAACUGCGAGUGUAGAGGUGAAAUUCGUAGAUAUUCGCAAGAACACCGUGGCGAAGGCGGCUCACUGGCCCGGUACUGACGCUGAGGUGCGAAAGCGUGGGGAGCAAACAGGAUUAGAUACCCCCGUAGUCC
rnacentral:rRNA from 1 species